rnacentral:snoRNA from 1 species
AAGACUAUACUUUCAGGGAUCCUUUCUAUAGUUUUGACUUGAGAAAUGUGUUUCUAGUGUGUAUGGUCUCGCUAACCACGAUGAUGAGUUGUGAUAUUCCCUUUGGAGCAUGAAAGUGACAGGCAACUGUGACUUUGUCAUGUGUUUUCUGUUCUUGAUGACCGUUCAUUGCUUAUUUUUGGAGCUCUGACAAAGGGAAUAUGAUCUGAGUGGU